UCUGCUGUGUACCUGGCACAUGACAGUGGUGAUGUCAGCCGUCUCUGAUGGUCUAGUUCUGUUGCUGGUUGUUUCUGCUGACUCUCAUUCAAGGGGUUGCUUGCCUGCUCAUGUGUUGAGUGUGAGCCCUUGGCUUGAUCUGCUGGAAUCAUGAAAGUCUAAAUUUGUGGUGCUUUCACAGAUACAAUUGUUGUUGGAUUCACUGCAAACCACAGGUGUCACAGACUUGAAACCAUGAGUUGGGGAACCCCAAGACCAACCCUGGGUUCACUGAUUGGCUAGGAGGACUCACAGGACUUGGUAGAGAGUUGCACUGAUGGGUGUGACUGAUUACAGUAAAAGGACACAAGGCAAAAUCAGCAAAGGAAAAAAAGGGCAUGAAAUCUGAAAGAAACCAGGAGCAAGCUUCCAAGAGCCCUCUCAUAGUGAAGUCACACAGGAUGCAUUUAAUUCCUUCAGGAACUACUUGUGGCAACAUGAAUGAGACAUUGCCCCCAGGGAAGCUCGUUAGAGACUUGGUGCCAGGGUCUUAGCACCAAUGGGACUACAUAUGGAUUCAAACGGUCACUAAUUAAGUGCUGGGGCACAUUUUUACAGGCAAGGCUAUAAACGUUCCAUUCCAAACCAGAAAACCAAGAACAUCACACAUCUCCCCACAAAUGCAAAGAACAUCACUGUUGAAUUGUUAGUUGUAUAUUCUGGUAAAAUUAUAAAUGCAUACUAACUAGUUUUAAAGGUGAAUAUUCUACAAAUCUUCAAAUAUUACUGUUAAAAUGCACAAUAUUUGUUACCUCCAUUGCUUACUUUGAGUGAUAAAAACAUGUUUUAUGUUACUCCUUCCUUCUCCCACAUAAAGAAAACGAUUCAAUAUCAAGUUCUCAGAUUAACAAAGAAUAUAUUAAAACAUUUUACAUUCUUUCCACAACUGCAUAAAAAAGCAGGCAUCCUGCAUACUUACAUGGAAUAAAGAGCUUUCUACAUUUUCAAAAUUAAUUACAAUCCUAAAAGAUAUUUACAUGAAUAUCUUCACUAGCUAAUGAGUUGCAACAAUUUAAGACCAACUUGUUU
rnacentral:lncRNA from 1 species